GGAGUUUCUUAAACAGCUAGGAUGUUGGCUCAGAAGCAGCCACCAUUUAAAGAGUGCGUAAUAGCUCACUAGUCGAGAGGCUCUGUGCCGAUAAUUCAACGGGACUAAAACACAAUACCGAAGCUACGGGUAGAAAUACGUUAGAGGAGCGUUCUAAGGGCCUUGAAGCUAGACCGUAAGGACUAGUGGAGCGCUUAGAAGUGAGAAUGCCGGUAUGAGUAACGAUUCAAAGUGAGAAUCUUUGACGCCUAUUGGGGAAGGUUUCCUGGGCAAGGUUCGUCCACCCAGGGUUAGUCGGGUCCUAAGACGAGGCCGAAGGGCGUAGCCGAUGGACAACAGGUUAAUAUUCCUGUACUUUCUUGAGAGUGAUGUAGUGACGGGGAAGGAUAGUUUUACCACUCAUUGGAUUGUGGGGUAAGUGAUAACUGGGUGUUGUUGGCAAAUCCGCAACACAUUAACCGGGAGUUACAAUGCAUAGUGAAAGGGCGCAACCAAGUAGCGAAUUAAAUGAUUUCAUGCCUCUUAAAAAAGCUGCUAACUAUAAUCUCUGUGAAACCCGUACCGAGAACGAACACACGUCCCCAAGAUGAGUAUUCUAAGGCGAGCGAGAAAACCAAUGUCAAGGAACUCUGCAAAUUCAUCCCGUAAGUUCGCAAGAAGGGAUGCCCAUAGUAACAUAUGGGCCGCAGUGAAUAGUAAGGGGGAACUGUUUAUCAAAAACACAGCUCUAUGCUAAGUCGCAAGACGAUGUAUAUGGGGUGACUCCUGCCCAGUGCCCGAAGGUUAAGCAGAGGUGUUAGCAUUUGCGAAGCAUUAAUGUGAAGCCCGGGUGAACGGCGGCCGUAACUAUAACGGUCCUAAGGUAGCGAAAUUCCUUGUCGGCUAAAUACUGACCUGCACGAAAGGAGUAAUUAUCUCUUAACUGUCUCGACAUUGGACUCGGUGAAAUUAUGGUUGCGGCGAAGACGCCGCAUACCCGCAUCUAGACGAAAAGACCCCGUGGAGCUUUACUAUAACUUCAUAUUGGAGUUUGAUUUAACUUGUGUAGGAUAGGUGGGAGACUAUGAGACAAAGACGCUAGUUUUUGUGGAGUCAUCGUUGAAAUACCACCCUUGUUACGUUGAACUUCUAACUUAUUGCCAUUAUCUGGCAAGAGGACAGUGUGUGGUGGGUAGUUUGACUGGGGCGGUCGCCUCCCAAAAGGUAACGGAGGCGUUCAAAGUUACACUCAGUACGGUCAGAAACCGUAUUUAAGAGCAUAAAGGUAGAAGUGUGAUUGACUGCGAGACCUACAAGUCGAGCAGGUGCGAAAGCAGGACUUAGUGAUCCGGCGGUUCUUCGUGGAAAGGCCGUCGCUCAACGGAUAAAAGCUACCCCGGGGAUAACAGGCUUAUCUUUCCCAAGAGAUCACAUCGACGGGAAGGUUUGGCACCUCGAUGUCGGCUCAUCGCAUCCUGGAGCUGGAGUCGGUUCCAAGGGUUGGCCUGUUCGGCCAUUAAAGCGGUACGCGAGCUGGGUUCAAAACGUCGUGAGACAGUUUGGUUCCUAUCUGAUGUGGGCGUUGGAAUAUUGAUGAGAGCUGUCCUUAGUACGAGAGGACCGGGAUGGACAAACCGAUGGUGUUCCAGUUGUUCUGCCAAGAGCAUAGCUGGGUAGCCAAGUUUGGCAAGGAUAACCGCUGAAGGCAUCUAAGCGGGAAGCCUCCUCAAAGAUGAAUAUUCCCUUUAAAUUCCUUAUAGACUAUGAGGUUGAUAGGCCAGAGGUGUAAGUGCAGCAAUGCAUUCAGCUGACUGGUACUAAUAAAUUGAACGAUUUAAUA
rnacentral:rRNA from 1 species